rnacentral:rRNA from 1 species
CACCGGGGCGAAAACCAAUGAGGGGUCCCAAGUGCUAGUUCGUAAAAGCUAGCUGUUUUUCUGUCUAAACCCUUUUGAGAGUAAGGGCUGGGUAAGACGGGUGCCAGCCGCCGCGGUAAUACCUGCAGCCCGAGUAGUGACCGUUAUUAUUGGGCCUAAAACGUCCGUAGCCUGUUUGGUAAAUGCUUGGGUAAAUCGUGUAGCUUAACUAUACGAAUACCGGGUAGACUGCCAGACUUGAGACCGGGAGAGGUUGGAGGUACUCCUGGGGUAGAGGUGAAAUUCUGUAAUCCUGGGGGGACCACCAGUGGCGAAGGCGUCCAACCAGAACGGGUCUGACGGUGAGGGACGAAGCCCUGGGGCGCAAACCGGAUUAGAUACCCGGGUAGUCCAGGGUGUAAACGCUGCUUGCUUGAUGUUAGGUCGGCUUCGAGCCUACCUAGUGUCGGAGAGAAGUUGUUAAGCAAGCUGCCUGGGAAGUACGGUCGCAAGACUGAAACUUAAAGGAAUUGGCGGGGGA